rnacentral:misc_RNA from 1 species
GUAAAGGUCAUUCAAGAACCAUCAAGAAAUAAUACUUCUCUAUUCUCUCAACCUAUUCUCUAUUUUCUUUCUAAAUUUCUUCUGUUUCUUUCUCUUCUUUCUUCUAAGUCUCUAUUAGGGUUCUGUAACCCUAACAUUUGGGAUCAAAGCUAUCGAAGCCAAGAACUAGGGGGAAGAUUGGUCUUUUGGGGGUCGGAAUUAUGACUAGAUCAGCUAUAGUGAACCAGGAAAUGGCAAAGAUUGCUGAGUUGGAGGAACAAGUGAGGAAUCUGCAGGAUGUGUCUCAAAACCUGCAAAAUGUGACAGUUAGGAAUGCUGAAGAAUUGAAGGAUUUCAAGGAAGAUAUGAUGAAGAAAACCUCUAGUCAGGGUGUUCUUUUAGAGGAAAUGAUGAAGAAAACUUCUAGUCAUGGUGAGGAAUUGAGAGUUUUUAUUGCUGCAGAGCAAUGUAAAGGAGCUAGUACUUCUAGUAAAGGUGGAAACAGAUCUGAUAAUAUGGGGCCUCAGUCAAUAUUGGGGGAUGGCAGGGGACUGCUGCCCAACCCAAGAGGGACUCAGAAUCUGCAAGAAAGGAAUCAAGUGAAAAAGAACACAGGGAAAGAACCCGAGGAAUCGAG